CAGUGACGGGUACGGGGAAUUAGGGUUCGAUUCCGGAGAGGGAGCCUGAGAAACGGCUACCACAUCUAAGGAAGGCAGCAGGCGCGCAAAUUACCCAAUGAAAACAGUUUCGAGGUAGUGACGAGAAAUAACAAUACAGGGCAUUAUAUGCUUUGUAAUUGGAAUGAUGGGAAUGUAAAACCCUCCCAGAGUAACAAUUGGAGGGCAAGUCUGGUGCCAGCAGCCGCGGUAAUUCCAGCUCCAAUAGUGUAUAUUAGAGUUGUUGCAGUUAAAAAGCUCGUAGUUGGAUUUCUGUUGUGGCUAUCAGGUAACGCCCGUAUGGGUGUUCACCGUGAUGGACCAUGGCAUUCUUCCGGUAGCUCCUAUCGCGCUUCAUUGCGUGAUAGGUGUUCCGGAACUUUUACUUUGAGAAAAAAUAGAGUGUUUCAAGCAGGCUUGUCGCCCUGAAUACUGCCGCAUGGAAUAAUAAGAUAGGACCUUUGGUUCUAUUUUGUUGGCUUCUAGGACCGAGGUAAUGAUUAAUAGGGACAGUUGGGGGCAUUCGUAUUUAACUGUCAGAGGUGAAAUUCUUAGAUUUGUUAAAGACGAACUACUGCGAAAGCAUUUGCCAAGGAUGUUUUCAUUAAUCAAGAACGACAGUAGGGGGUUUGAAGACGAUUAGAUACCGUCGUAAUCUCUACCAUAAACUAUGCCGACUAGAGAUAGGGAAACGCCUACCUUGGCUUCUCCUGCAUCUCAUGAGAAAUCAAAGUCUCUGGGUUCUGGGGGGAGUAUGGUCGCAAGGCUGAAACUUAAAGGAAUUGACGGAAGGGCACCACCAGGCGUGGAGCCUGCGGCUUAAUUUGACUCAACACGGGGAAACUCACCAGGUCCAGACAUGGGAAGGAUUGACAGAUUGAUAGCUCUUUCAUGAUUCUAUGGGUGGUUGGUGCAUGGCCGUUCUUAGUUGGUGGAGUGAUCUGUCUGGUUAAUUUCGAUAACGAACGAGACCUUAGCCUGCUAAAUAGGAUCGGGAACUUUUUGGUUUCCGCAUCGCUUCUUAGAGGGACUUUGCGUGUCUAACGCAAGGAAGUUUGAGGCAAUAACAGGUCUGUGAUGCCCUUAGAUGUUCUGGGCUGCACGCGCGCUACACUGAUGCACUCAACGAGUUUAUAACCUUGGCCGACAGGUCUAGGUAAUCUUUUGAGUAUGCAUCGUGAUGGGAUAG
rnacentral:rRNA from 1 species